rnacentral:rRNA from 1 species
UAAGGAAUAUUGGUCAAUGGACGCAAGUCUGAACCAGCCAUGCCGCGUGAAGGAUGAAGGUCCUCUGGAUUGUAAACUUCUUUUAUCUGGGACGAAAACGGGAUUUUUAUCUCAAUUGACGGCACCAGAGGAAUAAGCACCGGCUAACUCCGUGCCAGCAGCCGCGGUAAUACGGAGGGUGCGAGCGUUAUCCGGAUUUACUGGGUUUAAAGGGUGCGUAGGUGGGCUUAUAAGUCAGUGGUGAAAUCUCCGAGCUUAACUUGGAAACUGCCGUUGAUACUAUAGGUCUUGAAUUAUCUGGAGGUAAGCGGAAUAUGUCAUGUAGCGGUGAAAUGCUUAGAUAUGACAUAGAACACCAAUUGCGAAGGCAGCUUACUACAUAUAAAUUGACGCUGAGGCACGAAAGCGUGGGGAUCAAACA